AGAGUGAACGCUGGCGGUAGGCCUAACACAUGCAAGUCGAACGGCAGCACGGUAAGAGCUUGCUCUUAUGGGUGGCGAGUGGCGGACGGGUGAGGAAUACAUCGGAAUCUACCUUUUGGUGGGGGAUAACGUAGGGAAACUUACGCUAAUACCGCAUACGCCCUUCGGGGGAAAGCCGGGGACCAGCAAUGGCCUGGCGCUGAUAGAUGAGCCGACGUCGGAUUAGCUA
rnacentral:rRNA from 1 species